rnacentral:rRNA from 1 species
UACGUAGGGGGCAAGCGUUGUCCGGAUUUAUUGGGCGUAAAGAGCGUGUAGGCGGCCAGACAGGUCCGUUGUGAAAACUCGAGGCUCAACCUCGAGACGUCGGUUGAAACCACCUGGCUAGAGUCCGGAAGAGGAUAGUGGAAUUCCUGGUGUAGCGGUGAAAUGCGCAGAUAUCAGGAAGAACACCCGUGGCGAAGGCGGCUCUCUGGGACGGUACUGACGCUGAGACGCGAAAGCGUGGGGAGCGAACAGG